CACGUGGGCAAUCUGCCCUUCGUAGGGGGACAACCGGGGGAAACCCCGGCUAAUACCCCGUAAGCUUGUCGGGUCGCAUGGCCCGACAAGGAGAGGUAGCUUCGGCCAUCCGGCGAAGGAGGAGCCCGCGGUUCAUUAGCUAGUUGGUGAGGUAACGGCUCACCAAGGCUACGAUGUAUAGCUGGUCUGAGAGGAUGAUCAGCCACACUGGGACUGAGACACGGCCCAGACUCCUACGGGAGGCAGCAGUCGGGAAUCUUGCACAAUGGGCGAAAGCCUGAUGCAGCAACGCCGUGUGAG
rnacentral:rRNA from 1 species